rnacentral:rRNA from 1 species
CACCGGGAUGUUCAUAACCCUUUGUUGUCCGACUCUGUUGCCUCCGGGGCGACCCUGCCUUCGGGCGGGGGCUCCGGGUGGACACUUCAAACUCUUGCGUAACUUUGCAGUCUGAGUAAACUUAAUUAAUAAAUUAAAACUUUUAACAACGGAUCUCUUGGUUCUGGCAUCGAUGAAGAACGCAGCGAAAUGCGAUAAGUAAUGUGAAUUGCAGAAUUCAGUGAAUCAUCGAAUCUUUGAACGCACAUUGCGCCCCCUGGUAUUCCGGGGGGCAUGCCUGUUCGAGCGUCAUUUCACCACUCAAGCCUCGCUUGGUAUUGGGCAACGCGGUCCGCCGCGUGCCUCAAAUCGACCGGCUGGGUCUUCUGUCCCCUAAGCGUUGUGGAAACUAUUCGCUAAAGGGUGUUCGGGAGGCUACGCCGUAAAACAACCCCAUUUCUAAGGUUGACCUCGGAUCAGGUAGGGAUACCCGCUGAACUUAAGCAUAUCAAUAAGGCGGAGGAA